rnacentral:rRNA from 1 species
CCAAGGGUUCCAGGGCCAGGCUAAUCCGCCCUGGGUAAGUCGGGACCUAAGGCGAGGCCGACAGGCGUAGUCGAUGGACAACGGGUUGAUAUUCCCGUACCGGCGAAGAACCGCAAGAGCUAAUUCCGUAAUGCUAAGAGCCCGAAUUCCUUUCCAGAUCCCUUCGGGGUGAUGGUUGGGAGCUAGCGCUCGACCCUACGCGGAGGCGGCUAGCGUAUUAACAGGUGUGACGCAGGAAGGUAGCUGAUCCGGGCGAUGGUUGUCCCGGUGUAAGGGUGUAGGGCGAGAGAUAGGCAAAUCCGUCUCUCAUAACGCUUGAGACCCGACGCGUAGCCCCAUGGGCGAAAUCAGUGAUCCUAUGCUGCCAAGAAAAGCAUCGACGCGAGGUUCUAGCUGCCCGUACCCCAAACCGACUCAGGUGGUCAGGUAGAGAAUACUAAGGAGAUCGAGAGAAUCGUGGUUAAGGAACUCGGCAAAAUGCCCCCGUAACUUAGGGAGAAGGGGGGCCGGAUCCGUGACGUAAUUUACUUAUUGAGCGGUGAAGGCCGCAGAGACCAGUGGGAAGCGACUGUUUACUAAAAACACAGGUCCGUGCGAAGUUGCAAGACGAUGUAUACGGACUGACGCCUGCCCGGUGCUGGAAGGUUAAGGAGAUCGGUUAGCUUCGGCGAAGCUGAGAACUUAAGCCCCAGUAAACGGCGGUGGUAACUAUAACCAUCCUAAGGUAGCGAAAUUCCUUGUCGGGUAAGUUCCGACCUGCACGAAUGGCGUAACGACUUCCCAACUGUCUCAACCGCGAACUCGGCGAAAUUGCACUACGAGUAAAGAUGCUCGUUACGCGCAGCAGGACGGAAAGACCCCGUGACCUUUACUACAGCUUGGUAUUGGUGUUCGGUGUGGCUUGUGUAGGAUAGGUGGGAGACUUUGAAGCGGACACGCCAGUGUUCGUGGAGUCAUUGUUGAAAUACCACUCUGGUCACUCUGGACAUCUAACUUCGAACCGUGAUCCGGUUCAGGGACAGUGCCUGGUGGGUAGUUUAACUGGGGCGGUUGCCUCCCAAAAAGUAACGGAGGCGCCCAAAGGUUCCCUCAGCCUGGUUGGCAAUCAGGUGGCGAGUGUAAGUGCACAAGGGAGCUUGACUGUGAGACUGACAGGUCGAGCAGGGACGAAAGUCGGGACUAGUGAUCCGGCAGUGGCUUGUGGAAGCGCUGUCGCUCAACGGAUAAAAGGUACCUCGGGGAUAACAGGCUGAUCUUGCCCAAGAGUCCAUAUCGACGG